rnacentral:tRNA from 2 species
CGCGGGGUCGAUUGAUUGAAUCGGAACGAUUGUGAUGAUUGUGUCGCGGGUUCAAUUCCCGCUCCCGCUACCA